CUCUGUUCUAGAAUUUCGUCCCUCGCUCUUUUCAAAUUCCCACCCAAAUUCCAGACCCUUGGUUGGUUUACAGGGAUGCUGGCUACUUAAAUAGGCCACAAGCAUAUUUCAGAGGACACAGGGGCUCACAAUUGAUGCUUUUAGGUGCUGACAGGCUCCGGCAGCUGCUAUGCCAGGCACUUGUUGCUAGGCAACAAGUUCUGUAAUAUCUUCAUAAGUUCUGAAGAGUUUAAAAGACCUGCAGGAACAGGCCUGUUCUCCUGUGCUAUCACAAUGCCCAUCAACAUUAGGGCAGGUGUGCAAUACUUGCCACGGCGGACUUAGCAAAAUGAGGCCACAAGAGACUUAAGAGUAGAACAAACAGAAUUUGGAACGUUUACUGCUGUUGAAUCCAAAUAGCUACCGCCGUCAGGUUUCAGUUCCAUGCUUGGUGUUCAUUCACACAAUAAACAAUCACGUGGAGGAAGAGAGUGAGGCAUGUUCAGGGUUUGAAACCGUUCAGGGGUCUGUCAGGGACACCACAGCCGAGUUGUGCAGACCAGCUCUCCUACUCCAUUCUGUGACUGAACAAAGGAACCCAACAAAGGAACAAAGGAAGAUGAGACAGAUCAUUGGUCCAUACAGCUCACAGUAUUGUCUACACUGACUGGCAACAGCUCUCUCCAGGAUUUCAAAAUGGAGUCUUGCUCAGGUCAGCCUUCCUGGAGAUGUUGGGGUUUGUGGGUUGUAUCCCAUGCUAGUCAUACUCAGAGCAGAGCCAGUGAUACUAAUGGGCAAGGCAAACUUGUACAGUGGUACCUUGGGUUACAAACGCCUCAGGUUACUAACACUUCAGGUUACUAACACUUCGGGUUACAGACUCUGCUAACCAGGAAGUAGUACCUCGGGUUAAGAACUUUACCUCAGGAUGAGAACAGAAAUCGCACGGCAGCAGCAGGAGGCCCCAUUAGCUAAAGUGGUACCUCAGGUUAAGAACAGUUACAGGUUAAGAACGGACCUCCGGAACAAAUUAAGUUCAUAACCAGAGGUACCACUGUACUCAGAAAGUGUGCACCAAAAGAUCACACCAUUUUUGGAUACAAAGAUUUCCUCAGGGAUGCUUCCAAAGGCCUGUUUCCAAAAUUGUUCCCCAUUCCAUAGAUGAUUUGGAGGCAUGUAGUAUCACUAAAGUACUAUUGCUGAUAUUUUAUUUUCUCUUUGAGCAUAGUGUCAUAGGUAGGCAGGGCGUUGGACUAGAUGACCCUUGAGGUCCCUUACAACUUUACAACUUUACAAUUCUAUAAUUCUAUGAUUCUAUUAUAUUAAUGGUAGAUUGUUCCUGUUUGUUAGAAACAGAAGCAUUAUGAGAAACAGCAAUAUUAUUGAUCUUUUCCAUCCUGCGCUACUAUACUUCUUGACCUUCUGACUUCUUACAAUUUAUUUACAGCUUAAUUUGAACCACAAAUUGAAACAAAAAUAUUGCCUAUGGCAUUCAGGCAGCGUUUCCAGCUGGUUUUGUAGACCCAGAUGGUUCAGAUGAGAAUCCAUAUGUCCGAGUGUUAAUUCGGACUGGACAGACUAUCUCUGAGGCUCUCAGGGCUCAUCAGCCAUUAAAAAAAACAACAUGCCACUAAUGUUCAAUUAGUUCAAUCACACUAUAGAUUUGCCAAGUCAAAGUUUAAAAAUAUGGGGCACUCCAGAUAUCUGGCAUUUAUUCUAGUCAAUACAGCAAUAUAGUGCUCUGAAUUAAGGGACACCAAUAAUGUUGUACAGAGCUGACAUAUUUUGAAGAAAAGGGCAAUAAUAAGGUAUCAUUUAAAAUAAAGGAAAUCUUCCAUUAAUCUCUUAGAAGACCUUUGUUUCCCCCCUUACAUGGCUCCAUAUGUUCAUGGAGCAUAGCAUUCUAUCCUUUUCAGGCUAUCACUCAAGUCCCACCAUUAUGGCUGUUGUGCAUUUUCUUCACUAUGAUUCCUUAAUUCCCGUGUGUGUGUGUGUGUGUGUGUGUGUGUGUGUGUGUGUGUGUAGGGGGGGAUGUUUCAAAAUCCAGCUGCUGCCAUUUCAUUAUUUGGUAAAGUUUUUAUUGGCAUAUGUGGAUUUCAAGCAAUAUUUUAGGAGAGAAAAUGUCUUAUGUAACUAAAAUAGCUAAAAAGGGAAACAGAUUUUAUUAUUAAUACUGAAUUUUUUGGAGCAUGAAACAAAUGAAAGCCAUCAUGCAUGACUCACCACGAGCUACUGUACAUACCUUUUAUUCAUUGCUGCCUAAACAUUAUGUGACUGAUUGCAGAUAGUAAAGGGUUUCAAAAGAGACAAAAUCCUAAAAAGAAUGUAAUGUAGCAUUUGACCUCUAUUUAAACGGGUUGUGUAUAUUGUCCUGGAUGUUCAAGAUAAAGGAUUCAGCCUAGAACAACAUGAAACUGAUAUAUCCUAUUCCAAUAAAGAGUUACAAACCAUCACACCUCAAAUACUCAUAAGCCUAUAGAUUAAUGAGGCCUCUGCACAGUGAAUCGUCUUCCUUCAGUCGUGAGUAAAUUGUUCUAUUCCUCAUAAAACUGUUUAGCAGAUUCUGCUGGCCAUUCCCAACUCCAUCAUGCUUCCUUCCACCCAUUUCAUCUUUAAUGAUUUUUAUGUAGACAGAUUCAAAUGCAACUAAGAUACAAAGUAAAUGACAAAUAACCAAAUAGUUCAGGCAUUUCGCUGAGAACACUUAUCAAAAGAGUACAUCAGGUUCAAGAGCUUUGACGUCUCCACUUAUGAGUCAUGCUUAUAUAAAUGAGUAUUAUUUAUUUAGACCAGAAUUUAUAUCCCAUCUUUCUAAGCAAAAUAGCAACUGAAAGUGACAUACUUAGGUACUGGUGGGAGGAGGUACUGGUACUGGGAGGAGGUACAAGGAAAUAAACAACUAUCUGACUUUUAGAAGACAUCUGAAGGCAGCCCUGUUUAGGGAAGUUUUUAAUGUUUGAUGUUUUAUCGCUUUUUUAUUAUUAAUAAUAUUCUGUUGGGAGAGUGGCUAGGGAAACCCAGCCAGAUGGGCAGAAUAUAAAUCUGUUGUUGUUGUUGUUGUUGUUGUUGUUGUUGUUGUUGUUAGAUAAUACCUUAAGGACUACCUGAAGCCUUUUGUCCAAGCUGGUUGUGAUUAUGUUGUGAAACGCCCAGCGAUUUUCAGAUGAAGUGUGGCAUACAAAUUUAAUUAAUUAAUUAAUUAAUAAUUGUACUUCAUGUUACAAAAGUGUGACAGGCUUCAACUAGAAAUUGGUCAGUUGGUGCCGCCAAUAAUAGCUCCUUGAUGUAGAAUGUUCUUCCAGCAGAAAUUUUGCAGUCUUUAAAAUGCAGGCUUUUUUCUCUUGUUCCCCACAGUAAAAGCAGGGGUUGAGGAUGAAGAAGCGAAUGAUGCCCUGAUAGCAUCCAAGGGAACUGCAGUCUGACGACACUCUCAAAUUUUUAUUAUAUAGUAAGAUAUACCACCUUGAGAUUUUAUAUGAGUUGGCAGUAUAUAAAAAAUAUAAAUGGAGCACCUCCAGACAGAUGUCCUUAUUCCUGAUCAUCAUAUAUCUAAGCUUUAAAGACAGAGAAGCUGAGGAGCGUAGAAGUAGAGAGGUUUGAUUAGAAGCUGUUAAGACUAGAUGAAAAUAGUGGAUCAUCUAAAAAAACAAAUGCUGACCUCUGAGUGAUUACUGAGUCUUGAGGUGCAUUUUGCCCCUUGAAAGGUCCACAGACAUCAUUUUUCCUCAUGACUAAAAGCAGGAAGCUGCUAAUUCAAUCCCCUCGAGAGGAAGCCUUGCAGGUAACUAAAGACCAAAGUUGUGCGGGGCUUUAUAAUUAACGCCAACACCUUGGAUCAUGGCACAGUACUAAUUAGCAACUGAUCCAGCUGCACGUUUGGGAUCUGUGAAUGCAUGGGAUUCAGUUCUGUGUAACAAUAUUUGUUUUCCAGAUGCUCUUUAACAAUAUCAUGUGCAACUGAUAAUAUCUGAAGGGCAGUUUAAUUUUGAAAAAUGAAGAAGUAGCUACUCCACUCCACGGGGGGGGGGGGGGAAUGAGAAGGCCCGCCCCUUGGAGACUUAGGAAUCUGAGGAAUUCCUGAAUGUUCUAUGGGAUUUUUCUAGCUUACAUGGCUGGCACUCCUAUCAACGCUUUCAACUUGCUAUGGAAUUCUGAGAUGAUGAUGAUGAUGAUUUAUUAAAUUUGUAUAUCGCCAUCCAUCUCUAGAUCUCAGUCAAAUUACAAUAUAAAAACUACAAAACAAGAAAAUAAAAAUAAAAACAACAACAACAACAACAACAACAAACCAAUAGUCCCCCCCCCCAACACAUUGAAAAGGGUAUUGGAUGCCAAUUAGCCAAAGUCCUGGCUGAUGCAAAAGGUAAAAAAAAAGUAAAGGACCCCUGGAUGGUUAAAUCCAGUCAAAGGCGACUAUAGGAUGCGGCACUUAUCUCACUUCAGGCCGAAGGAGCUGGCACUUGUCCACAGACAGCUUUCAGGGUCAUGUGGCCAGCAUAACUAAACCACUUCUGGCACAAUGGGACACUGUGACGAGUGCCAGAGUGCACAAAAACGCCAUUUACCUUCCUGCCACAGUGGUACCUAUUUAUCUACUUGCACUGGUAUGCUUUUGAACUGCUAGGUUGGCAGAAGCUGGGACAGAGCAACGGAAGGGCACCCCGUCGCGCGGAUUCGAACCACCGACCUUCCAAUCAGCAAGCCCAAGAGGAUCAGUGGUUUAGACCACAGCGCCACCUUUACCUGCAUAGAGCUAAUUGACAGAAUUGGUCCUCAGUGCCUUCAUCGUCGCUGUGGAGCACACAGUCAUCUUGGUACUCUUGUGAACUGUGUAUGAUGAAACAGGAGAAUCAGAUGCUAGAGUGCAAGUAUUGUAAAUCUUUAUCCAAACCUGACUAAACAUGGGUGAAGUUGCAUUGCUGCGGUGGUGGCAGCAAAUAAAGUUUACUUCUCCACUACCAUUAGAGCUGAAAAUAGACAUCUGGCCAAGCUUUUCCAAGUGGUGAAUGGGCUUUUGUCACCUGGCCAAGAGUUCAUUGCUUUAACAUCCUCAAAAGCCUACUGCAACUAUUUUGUGGAGCACUUUAGGGACAAAAUUACUCUGAUUUGUAUAGAGUUGGAUGCCACAAUUAGACCAAGUUCAAUGCAAGUGUCCAGAGCACUGUCCCAUCCAUAUUGGACCAUUUUCAAUUAUUGCAGCCUGUGAAUGUGGACAACCAGCUUCAAGAAAUGCAGCCAACCACCUGCCCACCUUGAUGCUCGCCCAUCCUGACUUCUUGGAGCUAGCCAUAGGGGGUCAACAAUAUGAGUCCAGGAAGUAAUUGAUGCUUCACUGGAGGAGGGCAAAGUACCACCUGCCUUGAAGGAGGUGUGUCUACUCCUUAAGAGGACUUCCCUGGACCCAGAAGGGUUAAACGACUAUUCCCCAGUGAGGAAUAUCCCCUUGUGCAUGAUAGAGUAGUGAC